GUCUGGUUGGCUCAGUCGGUGGAGCAUGGGACUCUGGAUCUUGGGGUCAUGGGUUCAAGCCCCACGUUGGGCA
rfam:Felis catus isolate Cinnamon breed Abyssinian chromosome A1, whole genome shotgun sequence.